rnacentral:rRNA from 1 species
GACGAACGCUGGCGGCGUGGUUAACACAUGCAAGUCGAGCGGAAAGGCCCUUCGGGGUACUCGAGCGGCGAACGGGUGAGUAACACGUGAGUAACCUGCCCCAGACUUUGGGAUAACCCUCGGAAACGGGGGCUAAUACCGGAUACGACACAGCUUCGCAUGGGGUCUGUGUGGAAAGUUUUUCGGUUUGGGAUGGGCUCGCGGCCUAUCAGCUUGUUGGUGGGGUGAUGGCCUACCAAGGCGACGACGGGUAGCCGGCCUGAGAAGGCGACCGGCCACACUGGGACUGAGAAACGGCCCAGACUCCUACGGGAGGCAGCAGUGGGGAAUAUUGCACAAUGGGCGGAAGCCUGAUGCAGCGACGCCGCGUGAGGGAUGACGGCCUUCGGGUUGUAAACCUCUUUCAGCAGGGACGAAGCGUAAGUGACGGUACCUGCAGAAGAAGCGCCGGCAAACUACGUG